CCCACUGGGAUGUACAGCAAUUGUUACUGGAUCACCUUCAGUUCCUUCAAGCACAUGCGUAGCCAAGGGAGAGGAAGAGAUAGACGUAGUAUCGGGAUCGAAGGAGAAGAACUCGAGCACAGAAGAAGAAUCGCGAGUCCUGGACUUGCCCAAGACCACCAGAUUAACGUUGUCGGGUCUCCGGAUCCACGAUCCGCAUGUCACUACCCCAUGUACC
rnacentral:misc_RNA from 1 species